GUGAAACUGCAGCGUGCAGACGCUAUGAAGACAGUUUUGCUUCUGCUCUUGUUGAGCACCUGCCGGACGUCAGCCCACAGUCGUGCUUCUUUGAAGGUCAUUCCCAACUGGUCUCAGUUUUUUGAGUACGAGAAAAUUACUCUCAGCUGUGACGAGAUAACCUCUGGUGAAUGGACGGUGUGGAGAUACACUACAGAAGGAUUGAAACUGUCUGACUGCACCUCGGGUUGG